GACGAACGCUGGCGGCGUGCUUAACACAUGCAAGUCGAACGGAAAGACCCUGCUUUUGUGGGGUGCUCGAGUGGCGAACGGGUGAGUAACACGUGAGUAACCUGCCCUUGACUUUGGGAUAACUUCAGGAAACUGGGGCUAAUACCGGAUAGGAGCUCCUGCUGCAUGGUGGGGUUGGAAAGUUUCGGCGGUUGGGGAUGGACCCGCGGCUUAUCAGCGUGUUGGUGGGGUAGUGGCUUACCAAGGCUUUGGCCGGGUAGCGGCCUGAGAGGGGGACCGGCCACAUUGGGACUGAGAUACGGCCCAGACUCCUACGGGAGGCAGCAGUGGGGAAUAUUGCACAAUGGGCGGAAGCCUGAUGCAGCAACGCCGCGUGCGGGAUGACGGCCUUCGGGUUGUAAACCGCUUUCGCCUGUGACGAAGCGUGAGUGACGGUAAUGGGUAAAGAAGCACCGGCUAACUACGUG
rnacentral:rRNA from 1 species